rnacentral:rRNA from 1 species
GGGUUGUGAGGUUAAGCGACUAAGCGUACACGGUGGAUGCCCUGGCAGUCAGAGGCGAUGAAGGACGUGCUAAUCUGCGAUAAGCGUCGGUAAGGUGAUAUGAACCGUUAUAACCGGCGAUUUCCGAAUGGGGAAACCCAGUGUGUUUCGACACACUAUCAUUAACUGAAUCCAUAGGUUAAUGAGGCGAACCGGGGGAACUGAAACAUCUAAGUACCCCGAGGAAAAGAAAUCAACCGAGAUUCCCCCAGUAGCGGCGAGCGAACGGGGAGCAGCCCAGAGCCUGAAUCAGUGUGUGUGUUAGUGGAAGCGUCUGGAAAGGCGCGCGAUACAGGGUGACAGCCCCGUACACAAAAAUGCACAUGCUGUGAGCUCGAUGAGUAGGGCGGGACACGUGGUAUCCUGUCUGAAUAUGGGGGGACCAUCCUCCAAGGCUAAAUACUCCUGACUGACCGAUAGUGAACCAGUACCGUGAGGGAAAGGCGAAAAGAACCCAGGCGAGGGGAGUGAAAAAGAACCUGAAACCGUGUACGUACAAGCAGUGGGAGCACGCUUAGGCGUGUGACUGCGUACCUUUUGUAUAAUGGGUCAGCGACUUAUAUUCUGUAGCAAGGUUAACCGAAUAGGGGAGCCGAAGGGAAACCGAGUCUUAACUGGGCGUUAAGUUGCAGGGUAUAGACCCGAAACCCGGUGAUCUAGCCAUGGGCAGGUUGAAGGUUGGGUAACACUAACUGGAGGACCGAACCGACUAAUGUUGAAAAAUUAGCGGAUGACUUGUGGCUGGGGGUGAAAGGCCAAUCAAACCGGGAGAUAGCUGGUUCUCCCCGAAAGCUAUUUAGGUAGCGCCUCGUGAAUUCAUCUCCGGGGGUAGAGCACUGUUUCGGCAAGGGGGUCAUCCCGACUUACCAACCCGAUGCAAACUGCGAAUACCGGAGAAUGUUAUCACGGGAGACACACGGCGGGUGCUAACGUCCGUCGUGAAGAGGGAAACAACCCAGACCGCCAGCUAAGGUCCCAAAGUCAUGGUUAAGUGGGAAACGAUGUGGGAAGGCCCAGACAGCCAGGAUGUUGGCUUAGAAGCAGCCAUCAUUUAAAGAAAGCGUAAUAGCUCACUGGUCGAGUCGGCCUGCGCGGAAGAUGUAACGGGGCUAAACCAUGCACCGAAGCUGCGGCAGCGACGCUUAUGCGUUGUUGGGUAGGGGAGCGUUCUGUAAGCCUGUGAAGGUGUGCUGUGAGGCAUGCUGGAGGUAUCAGAAGUGCGAAUGCUGACAUAAGUAACGAUAAAGCGGGUGAAAAGCCCGCUCGCCGGAAGACCAAGGGUUCCUGUCCAACGUUAAUCGGGGCAGGGUGAGUCGACCCCUAAGGCGAGGCCGAAAGGCGUAGUCGAUGGGAAACAGGUUAAUAUUCCUGUACUUGGUGUUACUGCGAAGGGGGGACGGAGAAGGCUAUGUUGGCCGGGCGACGGUUGUCCCGGUUUAAGCGUGUAGGCUGGUUUUCCAGGCAAAUCCGGAAAAUCAAGGCUGAGGCGUGAUGACGAGGCACUACGGUGCUGAAGCAACAAAUGCCCUGCUUCCAGGAAAAGCCUCUAAGCAUCAGGUAACAUCAAAUCGUACCCCAAACCGACACAGGUGGUCAGGUAGAGAAUACCAAGGCGCUUGAGAGAAUUCGGGUGAAGGAACUAGGCAAAAUGGUGCCGUAACUUCGGGAGAAGGCACGCUGAUAUGUAGGUGAAGUCCCUCGCGGAUGGAGCUGAAAUCAGUCGAAGAUACCAGCUGGCUGCAACUGUUUAUUAAAAACACAGCACUGUGCAAACACGAAAGUGGACGUAUACGGUGUGACGCCUGCCCGGUGCCGGAAGGUUAAUUGAUGGGGUUAGCCGCAAGGCGAAGCUCUUGAUCGAAGCCCCGGUAAACGGCGGCCGUAACUAUAACGGUCCUAAGGUAGCGAAAUUCCUUGUCGGGUAAGUUCCGACCUGCACGAAUGGCGUAAUGAUGGCCAGGCUGUCUCCACCCGAGACUCAGUGAAAUUGAACUCGCUGUGAAGAUGCAGUGUACCCGCGGCAAGACGGAAAGACCCCGUGAACCUUUACUAUAGCUUGACACUGAACAUUGAGCCUUGAUGUGUAGGAUAGGUGGGAGGCUUAGAAGUGUGGACGCCAGUCUGCAUGGAGCCGACCUUGAAAUACCACCCUUUAAUGUUUGAUGUUCUAACGUUGACCCGUAAUCCGGGUUGCGGACAGUGUCUGGUGGGUAGUUUGACUGGGGCGGUCUCCUCCUAAAGAGUAACGGAGGAGCACGAAGGUUGGCUAAUCCUGGUCGGACAUCAGGAGGUUAGUGCAAUGGCAUAAGCCAGCUUGACUGCGAGCGUGACGGCGCGAGCAGGUGCGAAAGCAGGUCAUAGUGAUCCGGUGGUUCUGAAUGGAAGGGCCAUCGCUCAACGGAUAAAAGGUACUCCGGGGAUAACAGGCUGAUACCGCCCAAGAGUUCAUAUCGACGGCGGUGUUUGGCACCUCGAUGUCGGCUCAUCACAUCCUGGGGCUGAAGUAGGUCCCAAGGGUAUGGCUGUUCGCCAUUUAAAGUGGUACGCGAGCUGGGUUUAGAACGUCGUGAGACAGUUCGGUCCCUAUCUGCCGUGGGCGCUGGAGAACUGAGGGGGGCUGCUCCUAGUACGAGAGGACCGGAGUGGACGCAUCACUGGUGUUCGGGUUGUCAUGCCAAUGGCACUGCCCGGUAGCUAAAUGCGGAAGAGAUAAGUGCUGAAAGCAUCUAAGCACGAAACUUGCCCCGAGAUGAGUUCUCCCUGACUCCUUGAGAGUCCUGAAGGAACGUUGAAGACGACGACGUUGAUAGGCCGGGUGUGUAAGCGCAGCGAUGCGUUGAGCUAACCGGUACUAAUGAACCGUGAGGCUUAACCUUACAACGCCGAAGGUGUUU